rnacentral:misc_RNA from 1 species
GUAUUGUAUUGCGUUAUACGCGGCGCACAUUCCAUAAGACUUUGCUACGGUGUGUGUGUAAAAACGUAGAGCUACAGGAGGAAGACAGGUGUCCGCCAGACCAUAGAACUACAGAGGGUGCACAGGUGUGGGUGGAUGUGUGAACAGAGCGUGCACAUGCCCCCAAUGUUUGAGGACCAGCAACAGCUCAUGCCAACAACUCAGUAAUGAUCCUUCCGCAGGUUCACCUACGGAAA